rnacentral:lncRNA from 1 species
AUGCUCAAAAUUCUCCAAGACAGGUUUCAGCAAUACAUGAACCGUGAGCUUCCAGAUGUUCAGGCUGGUUUUAGAAAAGGCAAAGGAACCAGAGAUCAAAUUGCCAACAUCUGCUGGAUCAUGGAAAAAGCAAGAGAGUUCCAGAAAAACAUCUAUUUCUGCUUAAUUGACUAUGUCAAAGCCUUUGACAGUGUGGAUCACAAUAAACUGUGGAAAAUUCUGAAAGAGGUAGGAAUAUCAGACCACCUGACCUGCCUCUUGAGAAACCGAUAUGCAGGUCAGGAAGCAACAGUUAGAACUGGACAUGGAACAACAGACUGGUUCCAAAUAGGGAAAGGAGUACAUCAAGGCUGUAUGUUAUCACUCUGCUUAUUUAAUUUCUAUGCAGAGUACAUCAUGAGAAAUGCUGGGCUGGAAGAAGCACAAGCUGAAAUCAAGAUUGCCGGGAGAAAUAUCAGUAACCUCAGAUAUGCAGAUGACACCACCCUUAUGGCAGAAAGUGAAGAAGAAUUAAAGAGCUUCUUGAUGAAAGUGAAAGAGGAGAGUGAAAAAGUUGGCUUAAAGCUCAACAUUCAGAAAGCUAAGAUCAUGGCAUCUGGCCCCAUCACUUCAUGGCAAAUACAUGGGGAAACAGUGGAAACAGUGUCAGACUUUAUUUUUCUGGGCUCCAAAAUCACAGCAGAUGGUAAUUGCAGUCAUGAAAUUAAAAGAUACUUACUCCUUGGAAGGAAAUUUAUGACCAACCUAGAUAGUAUAUUAAAAAGCAGAGACAUUACUUUGUUAACAAAAGUCUGUCUAGUCAAGGCUAUGGUUUUUCCAGGAGUCAUGUAUGGAUGUGAGUUUUGGACUAUAAAGAAAGCUAAGCACCAAAGAAUUGAUGCUUUUGAACUGUGGUGUUGGAGAAGACUCUUGAGAAUCCCUUGGACUGCAAGGGGAUUCAACCAGUUCAUCCUAAAGGAGAUCACUCCUAGGUGUUCAUUGGAAGGACUGAUGUUGAAGCUGAAUCUCCAAUACUUUGGCCACCUGAUGCAAAGAGCUGACUCAUUUGCAAAGACCCUGAUGCUGGGAAAGAUUGAGGGCAGGAGGAUAAAUGGACAAAAGAGGAUGAGAUGGUUGGAUGGCAUCACCGACCCAAUGGACAUUGGUUUGGGUGAACUCCGGCAGUUGGUGAUGGACAGGGAACCCUGGUGUGCUGCAGUUCAUGGGGUUGAAAAGAGCUGGACACUACUCAGCAACUGA